AGUGCCUGCCUGGAGCCUGGUUUGGUUACAGAAGCAGAAAGUACUAAAGGCAAGAGAGCAAGAGCAGUGGUUCCAAAACUUGCUUUAAAUAGAAGGGAAAACGAAGCCACUUGGAGUAGAUCUUUGCUAAGCAAAAGGGAAGAAGAAGUUUAGAGGAAGAUAAAAGAAUUUUACUAGUGUAGCAGGAUGCUGUAGGAUCCUGAAGGACUUUGGGCUUGUCAGAAAGUUGAUCUGCAGGUUGGUUAAAUGACAUGCUGUCCAGGAGACAUGCAGUGAAAUUUUGCUACCUGAGGCACUGGAACCAGUACAUAAUUGUGUCUUGAGUGUGAAAAGGGAUCAGUAAAAUCCCAUGUCUCUUCUGUGGUUUCCAAGCCUUCUAACCCCUGUGAAACCUAAACAAUGAAUAACCUUUCUAAUUACUGGGGGACUAAAAUACCAUGUCUAGUGUAUGGAGUCCUCAUCUCAGUUGUAAUUAGUAUUGGACCUCAUAUGCUUUAGGUUUUAUAGUACCUACAGAAGGCAUGGAAUAUUGAAGCUCAUUCUUUUAUUCUUCAUACCUUUACCAUAAAAUUACUUUUUGCCAAUGCUUAAAGCAAUAUCAAAUGUAGUAUUAAUUGAACAGUGUUUUCUCAUGACCUAUUUGUUAUUGCUUUAAGUUAUACCGAGCUGCUUGUGAAGCACAAAAAAGGCAUAAAAAAAUAAUUAAUUUUCUGAGUGAAAGCAGUUGGUUUUGUCAUCAACAGAGAGAAUUAAGUGUGUGUGAAUUAACCUCAAUCCUCAGCUACAGCUAAGCUGUUCCAAUGAUGGGAAAAAGAAAUUUGAAUACAUCUCAGUUAAUCAGGAUGCACAUCUUUAUGAAAGUCAUUUAAUUGAGAGAUCUUUCGGGGAACAGAUUUAACCUUAUAAUACUGAAAAUCAAUAAUGGCAGCUUAAUGGAGGACAUGUUAUUGCUUGGUAGAUUGUCUAGGGGCAUAAUACUGAAGUCUAUGUCUUUUGUGUAUCUGGUGUUUGUUCUCACCUGCUUAUUAAUUUAUUAACUCUGAAAACUUCCCUUGAACACAUAUGCUGUGUUCCAGUGGCUAAGUCUACAGCUGAGAAACUAGCUGUUAUUACUACACAUGGCCAGAUCUAAACUACGUGUAAUAGAAGUGUUAAAAGAAGUGAACAAAACUAUCUUUUAAAGCAAUACAUCCUUGCCAUUUCCUGCAAGUUAUUCAUAUGCAAACUUUAAAAAUAUUUCUGAAUAUUAUUUCUAAAAGUGAUAAGUACAUUUUCCACUUGUCAACACUGGUAGUAGAACUUCCCAGGGUACUGGUAACCGCACAAAUUGGUGACAUGAAUUAUUAAUUACACAAAUGAUUUUGGCAUAAUGUGGAUGUUGGUUUCAUGGCAGAUCCUGAAAAUGUUUCAUUGCAGUUUCAUCUCACAGCUGCCUGUCUUGAUGUCAAGGGGCAAAAUGCAGGCUCUGCCACUAUGCAAAUGCAUACCCUCAUUCCCUCUGCUAGCAUGCUUAUGUCCCAAGGCUGCCCAGAAGAUCACACUUGGAGCUAUCAAACAUUAGGAUAAUGAGUGCACUCGCAGGUACAACUUUUACGUGCCUUCCAUGUCAUGCACUACUCUGGAUGCAGAAGUGUGUCCAACAGGUUUGUUUAUUCUAAAAAUUACCUCCAAUAUUCUAACCAGCAGUACAUAUACAGUACAUAUGCAUCUCAGCAUAUGGAUCAUAGUUACCAAGCAGGAGACUCUAGGUGCUAUUUUAUCAUCAUAUGAAUUCUUCUGUGUUGAAGCUUGACAUAUUCUCCACAAGCUCCUCAGCAAAUCAUUUAAUCUCUAACUUUCUCACUAUUGGUAGUGAGGGAAAUUGAGUUGAAGAAUGAAAGAAGGAGUUUAAAAUCUCUUUUAUUGGGAAAAUCCCAAAGAAUAAAAACAUUUCAUUCUGUGGGAUGAUCUUUUCUGCAGUGUUUUAAUGCAGCAACUGACAGGAACGUGAAAUGGCUUCAAGGUGCUGUGAGACCCUUCUUUGUCUUCUGUCUCAAAGCUUGCUUCCUGAGGUAUUUCUUGUAAUAAGACUCUUAACUGAUUUGUGGAGAUGGCAAAUGAUGGGUGCUACCGUGUGACAGUCAACAUCAUUUCAACAUUUGAAAGCACCUUCCUCCAGAGCUGCUUGCCUCCGGAAGAGAGUGCUCAGAAUUGGUUACUGGUGGAAGAUCUGGCCUAAUAGCCCCAGCUUGGUGUGGGAAAACUGGGGAACGACACCAUCGUACUCUGUGAAAAACAGGAUGCAGAUGGACAUCCCUGCUUCCUCUUAUCUGCUAAGGCCCAGAAGAUGAAUUUCUGCUGAGAUCCCAGACCCAGUAGCUGCCACUCCAAGGAGAGCUGACUCAACCACUUUGGAUUCAAGCUGUCACUCAAAGGAGAGCUGACUCAACCACUUUGGACUUUUAUAAGUUUGUACUGCCAUUGUCAUUGUCAUCGUUGCUGUGGUCACCAUCAUCAACAGAACACCCAACGACCCACCACUACUGAACAUCAAUGACUGAACUACGAACCACAUUGAACCAUGGUCAUAUCUCCCUCCUGCUUCCUGUACGGACUCCUUGCUUCUAUUUCCUAUCUUUUCUGUUGCCCUUCUCCUCCUCCCCAUCUGCCUGAACGACUAGGAUUUGUAAUAAACUGUUCAGACCAACAUU
ensembl:lncRNA